rnacentral:rRNA from 1 species
CCUACGGGUGGCAGCAGUAGGGAAUUUUCCACAAUGGACGAAAGUCUGAUGGAGCAACGCCGCGUGAGUGAAGAAGGGUCUCGGCUCGUAAAGCUCUGUUGGUAGUGAAGAAAGAUAGAGGUAGUAACUGGCCUUUAUUUGACGGUAAUUACUUAGAAAGUCACGGCUAACUACGUGCCAGCAGCCGCGGUAAUACGUAGGUGGCAAGCGUUGUCCGGAUUUAUUGGGCGUAAAGGGAGUGCAGGCGGUUCAAUAAGUCUGAUGUGAAAGCCUUCGGCUCAACCGGAGAAUUGCAUCAGAAACUGUUGGGCUGGAGUGCAGAAGAGGAAGGUGGAACUCCUGGUGUAGCGGUGAAAUGCGUAGAUAUAAGGAAGAACACCGGUGGCGAAGGCGGCUCUCUGGUCUGCAACUGACGCUGAGGCUCGAAAGCAUGGGUAGCGAACAGGAUUAGAUACCCUGGUAGUC